CAGAUGAGGAAAAAGUCACUGGUGUUUCCUUUGUCCAAAGUCCAUUCUUCCUUGGAGCUGCAAACACUUUCUUGAAAAGAUGAGGCCUUUAUCCUUACGAACACAUUCUGCAGACUGAUUCUCUUUGGCUCAAAGAUUUCCUGUCCCGUAAUGGAAAGUAGGUGUGACGUUCUGUUUGAUAAUCCCAGGCCAGAGAUCUUGGAUGCAGACACCAAAGCCAUGACUUCAAGAAGUGACAUUUUCCACUUGAGUCUCUGCAGCAGUAGCAGGCAAAUGAUGAUGGAAAUCAAGAAAGUUGUGUCCCCUGACUCAUCUCAGAGGUAGCAGGUGGGCCACGGGUCAUUCAAGAAAUGGAGGUCAUUGAGGACAACUUCCCCCCAGAUUCCUAUCACAAACCUGGCACAAUCAGGCUAUUUCAACAUGGGAAACUGAAAUCGGGCAUAUCCCUGCGGAAGAAGCUGUCUCUUAGCGAAGAAUAAAACUGUGGACUGACCCCCACCCAUUUGCGAAGAAAGUACUGGGUCUUCAGCUUUCAUUGUUCAGCCGGUGGUCUUUGUGGACAACACCAGGGGCCCCUCCUGCUGAAGACUGUCUGGACUUCCUGAUUUUCACUCCUGUAUAAACCCCCUCCCCCAUUACUACCUUUGUCUCCUUGGGGAAAAAAAAUGUUUUUCACUUAAGCAAAAUAAUAACUACCCAGUAUUUGUUUCUGGAGUGAAAUUGUAAACUUCAUUGUACAUUCUUCCUGGCUUUGAUGCUUAUCGUGAAGAGUUCAGUGAAAAUAAAUUGUUUUUAUGAAAGCAGAGAAACCAUUUGAUAAACACGCUGUCUCUGAAAAUCGUUCCUGCAAAAGAGGUCAUUCUUUCACUUUAAAAGAAAUAGAAUAUAUUUCAGAAAACAGGCAGGACAACAUACAAAUUUUUUUUUAAGGCAGAGUGUAAAUACAGUGAAAAUUGCACACCUCCUGAUUGUGUGGAGUGUUUUGG
rnacentral:lncRNA from 1 species